rnacentral:rRNA from 1 species
GAUGAACGCUGGCGGCGUGCCUAAUACAUGCAAGUCGAGCGAACAGACGAGGAGCUUGCUCCUCUGACGUUAGCGGCGGACGGGUGAGUAACACGUGGAUAACCUACCUAUAAGACUGGGAUAAUUUCGGGAAACCGGAGCUAAUACCGGAUAAUAUAUUGAACCGCAUGGUUCAAUAGUGAAAGACGGUUUUGCUGUCACUUAUAGAUGGUUCCGGGCGGCAUUGGUUAGUUGGUAAGGUACCGGCUUACUAAGGCAACGAUGCGUUGCCGACGGGUGAGCGGGGUCGGCGACAUGGGAACGGAGACACGGUCCAUGCUCCUACGGGAGGCAGCAGAAGGGAAUCUGCCGCAGUGGGCGGAAGCCUUGCACAGCAACGCCGCGUGAGAGGUAAAGGUCUUCGGAUCGUAAAACUCUGUUAUUAGGGAAGAACAAAUGUGGAAGUAACUAUGCACGUAGUGACGGUACCUAAUCAGAAAGCCACGGCUAACUACGUG